GAAUAUUAUGUUACUCGUUGUUGCUUAGUAACCAGAGCAAUGCUGGCACUAGAGUGGUCAUGUGCUAAAUGAAUGAACAGCAGGGAUGUUGGUGAAAAAAGUGACAUUUGGAAAUAGAGCUUCACCUCUUGAAUGUUGAGAGUUAUUUGAUAAAGGCUGGUUGAAUGAGUUCCCUAUGAGAGGCUACUUCAUCUGCAAGAAAACAGGCGGCCGCACCAUUUUCCUCAUAUGAAAUUAAAAACCCCACCCACCAGACCGUGUCUCUUCCCUUCCAAAAC